UAGCAUAAUAAUUAGUUUUUUAAUUAAGAACUGGAAUGAAGGGUCCUACGAGAAAAAGACUGUCUCAAUUUAAUUUAAUUAGAAUUUUAUUUUUAAGUAAGAAAGCUUAAAUAAUUUUAAAAGACGAGAAGACCCUAUAGAGUUUUAUAUUUAGUACUUACUUUAAAAUUAAAAA
rnacentral:rRNA from 1 species